rnacentral:rRNA from 1 species
AGUGAACGCUGGCGGUAGGCCUAACACAUGCAAGUCGAACGGCAGCACAGUAAGAGCUUGCUCUUACGGGUGGCGAGUGGCGGACGGGUGAGGAAUACAUCGGAAUCUACUUUUUCGUGGGGGAUAACGUAGGGAAACUUACGCUAAUACCGCAUACGACCUACGGGUGAAAGCAGGGGAUCUUCGGACCUUGCGCGAUUGAAUGAGCCGAUGUCGGAUUAGCUAGUUGGCGGGGUAAAGGCCCACCAAGGCGACGAUCCGUAGCUGGUCUGAGAGGAUGAUCAGCCACACUGGAACUGAGACACGGUCCAGACUCCUACGGGAGGCAGCAGUGGGGAAUAUUGGACAAUGGGCGGAAGCCUGAUCCAGCCAUGCCGCGUGGGUGAAGAAGGCCUUCGGGUUGUAAAGCCCUUUUGUUGGGAAAGAAAAGCAGCAGGUUAAUACCCCGCUGUUCUGACGGUACCCAAAGAAUAAGCACCGGCUAACUUCGUG